rnacentral:lncRNA from 1 species
UUUUUUAAUUUUUUAUUGAUUAUAUGAACUUGUCAGAUUGAAUGUUUACUCUUUUUCCCUUUCAACACGAACCAUUCUUUUUAUUGAUUGAAUGCUUUCAGAUUGGACUUUAAAAGAGGAUACAAUCUUUCGGAGUGGAUCAUUUGAAGUCUUGACCGAAAACGGUGUGGCACCAUCUGAUGGAUGAUUUGAAAUAUUCAUUGAGAUUGGUGUUAUAAUUUCAUACGUGGAAAAAAUCAUUCCUCUUUUAUUCUAAAAUAUCCAUGAUUUCAAGGUUGAUAUGUGGAAUUCUCAAUUUCUGAUAGAUUGGCAUAAGCCCGUUUGGGUAAGUAAUUUGGCUUUAUAAUUUUAAUUUAAUUAACUGUAUACACCGUAUGCCUGUAAUUCCAGAGGAGAAGAAGGAAGAACAAAGAUUUAAUCUUAUUUGCUAUAUCGUGGCAUGUUGGGGGAAUAAUGGCAUUAACUCUACUUUAUUGUUAUUAUUAUGUUAUAUAUAUGUGUGUGAGAGAAGAUAUACUUUGAAGUUGGUAUUUGAUGGCUAGGAAUUUGAUGCAACUAAUAUAAACUUUUAUGGGUGGAUUGGAAUAGCUUUGAAUAAGCAUAGUUGCCUUGAUUGGCAGCAAUAUGAUCAUUUGAACUCUUUGUUAGUAAUUAACGUCCCUGGAUUUGUUAGUAAUUUGUAAAAAAAAUUUAGGACAUAGUUGUAUUUUUUUAGCCUCUGAAUCUGUUGGUGUUUUGUCUAAAUUGGUUAACAUUGUAGUGCAAGUACAUUGUUACUUCCAAGCUUUGCACAUUUAACAAAUGUUAUAAUAGGCCACUGAACAUACUGAUGGCAUGCUGCUAUGUUGGACGGUAAAGUAUUACCUACUGCAUGGAAGGUAUUGGGAACUUGAAAGGCUUGGGUUAAAGAAUGUUUGAUUUAUUGAAGAAUUUGAGGGAAAAUAGGAGGGAACUGAGAACUGGGACACAUAGAAAUAUAGUAUAUGCUACCAGUAUGGAUAAGGACUAGAAAACACAAAGUAAAUUGAAACCACAUUGUGGGCUACAUAACAAAUUGAGGGACAUGUUGUAGGUACCAACGGAAACUUA